rnacentral:rRNA from 1 species
AGACAGAACUGUGGGGACACGUGUGGAGAGCAUAGGCGCGGAAUGGAAAGCCGCGUGCAAGCGAGGUAGGAGUCCUGUAGGAAAAACCGCAGGGCAAUCCGAAGGCGUGAUGCGGACCGAAAUCUAGUAGGGAAGUAUGUGAGCCAUGCGUCAAGAAAAGCCGCUAUUGUUCUUAUUGUACCCGUACCGUAAACCGACACAGGUGGAUGAGGAGAGAAUCCUAAGGCCGACGGAAGAAGCAUUGUUAAGGAACUCGGCAAAAUGACCCCGUAACUUCGGGAGAAGGGGUGCCACAGAAAUGUGGCCGCAGAGAAUAGGCUCAAGCAACUGUUUAGCAAAAACACAGGUCUAUGCAAAACCGAAAGGUGAGGUAUAUGGGCUGACGCCUGCCCGGUGCUGGAAGGUUAAGAGGAGAGGUUAGCGCAAGCGAAGCUUUGAAUUGAAGCCCCAGUAAACGGCGGCCGUAACAAUAACGGUCCUAAGGUAGCGAAAUUCCUUGUCGGGUAAGUUCCGACCCGCACGAAAGGCGUAAUGAUUUGAGCGCUGUCUCGACAAUGCAUCCGGUGAAAUUGAAGUACCAGUGAAGAUGCUGGUUACCUGCGCCAGGACGGAAAGACCCCAUGGAGCUUUACUCCAGCUUGAUACUGGGAUUCGGUAUUGCAUGUACAGGAUAGGUGGGAGGCUGAGAAUCGGUAACGCCAGUUGCCGAGGAGCCAUUGUUGGGAUACCACCCUUGCAGUACUGGGUUUCUAACCAGCAGCCGUGACCCGGCUGGGGGACAAUGUCAGGUGGGGAGUUUGACUGGGGCGGUCGCCUCCGAAAGGGUAUCGGAGGCGCUCAAAGGUUCCCUCAGAAUGGUUGGAAACCAUUCGAAGAGUGCAAAGGCAGAAGGGAGCUUGACUGCGACACCGACGGGUGGAGCAGGUACGAAAGUAGGACUUAGUGAUCCGGUGGUAUUAAGUGGGAAUGCCAUCGCUCAACGGAUAAAAGCUACCCUGGGGAUAACAGGCUUAUCACUCCCAAGAGUUCACAUCGACGGAGUGGUUUGGCACCUCGAUGUCGGCUCAUCGCAUCCUGGGGCUGUAGUAGGUCCCAAGGGUUGGGCUGUUCGCCCAUUAAAGCGGUACGCGAGCUGGGUUCAGAACGUCGUGAGACAGUUCGGUCCCUAUCCGGCGUGGGCGUAGGAUAUCUGAGAGGAGCUGUCCUUAGUACGAGAGGACCGGGAUGGACGGACCGCUGGUGUACCUGUUGCAGUGCCAGCUGCAUGGCAGGGUAGCCAAGUCCGGAAGGGAUAAACGCUGAAGGCAUCUAAGCGUGAAGCCCCCCUCAAGAUGAGAUAUCCCAUUCGGAAGAAGUAAGACCCCUUGAAGACGACGAGGUAGAUAGGGCAGAGGUGGAAGUGCAGUAAUGUAUGGAGCUGACUGUUACUAAUCGGUCGAGGGUUUGAUC